GUUGAUUUUUCCCACAUACAAGAUAAAAUUAAUAUGACAGAGCAUUAUUCCUAGAAGCAUGCUCUCUUUGGUAAAGCUUUCGUGUGAGAAUCUGCUUAUAUUUGCAGCCGUCUGAUGUUUAAAAACAGAAUUAUUCAACAUCUCUGAGUAGUUCUCUCUGACCCCUUGUUUGCUUGUUUUCUAGGUUACCCAGGAGCACCAGAAAGAUUUCCAGCCAUGUUGUGCCACCCCGUGUAGGAAAUGGGAAAUUGCACAGCUCUGCUCACCAUCAUGACCUGAGUGGUGUCCUGCAGAUGGCAAUCUGUGCAAUUUGAAGGCAGUUUUGAGUUUAUCAGCAACCAAAUUAUAUUUAGAAAAGCUCAACGGUAGUUUGUAUGAAACUUUUUUUUUCUUAAAACAUUAACCUUAAACCUUUUGAUAUAAUAAGUAAUAGUGACCCUUGUUAUAUUACAGGUCUGAUGAAGGAUAAGGAAGGUUGCCACACACCCUCAAUUUUCAGAGCUCAGCUGAACCCAACUCCAUCUGGAAUAAUUCCAGCUGUUCACAAACACUGUGCUCCAGCAGACUGAGAUCUCUAUCCACUCAGUCCUAAAUACCUGAGCAAGAGCCUUACAAACUGUGUACAGAAUUCCUGUGAUCAGAUCUGCACUACGAAAAACCGGGAUAUUAUGGGCACGAGCUGUUCCAAGUUCCUGCUGUACCCCGGGCUCAAACAGACAUUGGUGCAUCUUUGCCUUUUGGACAACAUUCCGGCUGUGAGGAGCAGGAAUUCAAGUUGGUUGCUGUCUGACUGCAGCAAUGUUAGUGGCACAGGGCCAGUUCUGUGUAACUGAGUUUUUUGGCACACACACAGAGAUGUGUAUGUUCACAUUCCAGCAGAUGUGCUGUUGCAGAAAUCAGCUCGUGAUUAAAAUAUGAAACUUGCCCCUCAGCUUCACGGAGUUUGUGCGUACAAACGCUGCGUUCCCGCUGCUGCGUCCCCGGCGGGGCGGGAAUCAGAGCUGUUCCUCAGACGGCGUUCUGCACCUCAGGCACAGCACUGCCACCUGUCGUUACCGCUGCCAAAGGACGGUGACCUCAGGCUUUGUGUAGCUCUCCCAGCUCGUGCUGUACGCGUGCAGUACCGCCCGGUUCCAUAAGGAAUGUUCAGCACCCCACUGCUGCCUCACGCAAGCGGCUCAAGUGGAGGCUGAGGAGCUUUCCUCGACGGCCCUGCUGCUACUGGCACGGGACUCAACGCCUCGGAAACCGCGCCUGUGACCUCCCGGGCCUGUCCUGGUUGUGAAUGCCCUCCGGCCAAGGGCCGCAGCGCUCAGUCUCAGCUCAUUCCAGCGGGGCGGGCAGCGCGGCUCGAUCUGUGAGCCGACGGAAGCGCCGAACCUCGACGCUGCCCUCGCUCACCACAGCCCUCACACGGGCACCGCCUCGCGCUUCCAACGGUCGUCCGCGUGCGAGCAGUAAGGGCGCGUGCGCCAGCUGGAGGAGGGAGGAGGGAAGCGGGAGGCGGGCGGCGCUGCAUUGGCGCAUGUGCACGAGCGCUCCAAUCCUUGCG
ensembl:lncRNA